rnacentral:sRNA from 1 species
UAGAGUUUGUGGCCAUCCAGGGACUUU